GGGUGCACGGUCCGGGUUGGACCGGCAGGGAACUGCGCUGGUCGGGCCGCCAGCG
rnacentral:ncRNA from 2 species